rnacentral:misc_RNA from 1 species
UUCUAUAUGAUAUAAUAACUUGUUAUGCCAACCAUUCUCUUUCAUUCUUCUGUUUCUCAACUGGAGUUGCUUCAUUUAUAUCCUUUAUUUGUCAAAUAUUCAUCUGGGUUUUCUCAUCCUUCUUGCUUUUCUAUUAAAAUAAACAAAAAAAAUCUUUCUCAAUUAAAUUCCGAGUUGUUUUGCCCUUUUUCUCUGUAUAUUCGGCCUUCUUCUUUGACGAUAACAAUAUUCAACGCUUGCCUAAUUUAGUUUCCUUUUGUUUUUGCUUCCCCUGUUUUGAUCUCUCUACUAUUUCAAAUCCUGAAAAAGCUGCAGCCUUCGAAAAUUAUUCUAAAAUGAAAUGUUUUCACUACUUCAAGGACAAAUCCAGAAGCAGGCAACAAAGAUCAGCACCAGAGUUGAAAGAGCAAUCAAAAUCGGAUUAUUCAGGGUCGGGGACACACAGAAUCGCAAAAUCCUCGUGCUCGGAAACUUCAGCGCGUCGUAUACCCGAAUUAUAUGAGGAGAAGGCUCGCAAUCUGCGAGUCUUCUCCUUCUCAGAGCUCAGACAUGCGACCCAUGAUUUCGACAGACUAUUAAGGAUUGGGGAAGGUGGAUUUGGGAGUGUCUACAAAGGCUCAAUCAAGCCUGCUGAUGGGAAAGGUGAACCCAUUGUAGUUGCAAUUAAGAAGCUUAACAAAGAUGGUUUGCAGGGUCAUAAACAAUGGGUGGCAGAAGUUCAAUUUCUAGGUGUGGUGGAGCAUCCAAAUCUUGUCAAACUUGUAGGAUAUUGUGCUGCGGACGGAGAAAGAGGAAUCCAGAGACUACUUGUAUAUGAGUUUAUGCCAAACAAAAGCUUAGAAGAUCAUCUUUUCAAUAGGGCAUACCCUGCACUUCCUUGGAAAACAAGAUUACAAAUAAUACUUGGAGCAGCUCAAGGGUUGGCUUAUCUGCACGAGGGCUUGGAAAUUCAGGUUAUCUUCUAAAAUAUGGUUAAUAACUACAAUACCCAUCGCUAUCUACCUUCUUUCUUUUUCUUUUGGUGGGUGAUAUUGCGUUGCCGUUGAGACCUACUUUUGCUUCAUCUGAAUAUUCAUGUUUUGUCCGGGAUUCAAGAUUUUGCCUCUGUUGCUAAAUUCUGAUUACUCGUGUAGGUUAUUUAUCGAGAUUUUAAAACCUCCAAUGUUUUAUUGGAUGAGAAUUUUAAACCGAAGCUUUCAGACUUUGGGCUUGCAAGGGAGGGGCCAGUGGCUGGACGAACGCAUGUUUCAACAGCAGUAAGUUUUUUUGGCACUAAAUUUAGCAUUAAUAGCCUGCAAUAAUGCUAACAAUUCUCCGACUCCAGCAAAACCCUUUUUUCUUAGUUGACUGCGCUGAGAAAUUAUUAGGUGCAUACUAUUUCUCACAACUAUUACACUAUUUUUAAAUACUUCAGUACAUCUAAUAAUGAGCCUGAUUGGACUCCUACCGAAGCUAGAAUCCAUAAAAAGAAUCCAUUUUGACAACCCUUGAGAGCCGCUUUUAGAAGCACUUGAUGCAAUUUUAUUGAUGUCCAUUAACAGUUUGCUCGACAUUAUACUUUAGAAUUCAAUUGUAGCAAUGGGAACUUGGUUUUUAUGAUCAGGUAAUGGGGACAAAUGGAUAUGCUGCUCCGGAUUACAUAGAGACAGGGCAUCUCACGACUAAAAGUGAUGUAUGGAGCUCUGGAGUUGUACUAUACGAGAUUAUUACUGGCAGGCGGUCCUUGGAAAGAAACCGCCCGAGAGCGGAGCAGAAGUUGCUGGAAUGGGUAAAGCAAUUCCCUCCUGAUAGUAAAAAGUUUGGGUUGAUAAUUGACCCACGACUUGAAAACCAGUAUUCUAUAGCUGUCGCUCGAAAAAUUGCCAGGUUAGCAGACAGCUGUUUGAUGAAGAGUGCAAAGGAUCGACCAAAGAUGACUCAAGUGGUAGAGUCUUUGAAGCAAAUAAUCCAGGAUUCAGAUGAAGAAGCGACCAUUUCAAAGGAAUCUUUUGAACCCUCAGAAACUGACUCGGCUGACUCGAGUAAGGAGCCAAAUCAACUGGAGGCCACUGAAUCUUGGAAAAGGCGGAUGACUCAUUUGGCAAAGCUUGGUGAGCACGUGGAGGGAGCAAGUAGAAGAAGAUUUAUGAUCAUGCAGAGAGCCAAAGUGGCCUAGAAGAUUUUAUAUUUGUAGAUUGCGUAACACUUUACUGGGAUCAUCUAGUGGAUUCAUUAUUUCAUUUGGUGCUAUUCGGUUGGUUAGAUUACUCACCUCAUUGGGAGACCAUUGAUACUGAAUAUGACGGCAGUUUCUUUUUGUACAGAGGCCAUUUCUGUGGACGGCCAAAUUAUUUAGUAGGAUUUUGCUGUCUUUGCUUUCUCCAUAGUCAGCACAAAUGAAUUGCAUGAAAACUCGGGAAUUACGCACAAAAUUAACUCAAAAAGAGCAAAUUGUCUGCAUUGAAGAAGUUCCAUCGCAUAUAGUUUUGGCACGAAGCUAUAAUCAUGGACAACAUAUUUCUAUUCUCUUAUAUUGUUGUUACCAUCCAAAAUACAAAGCCAGCUCUUCUAAGCUCAUAAACACCCUUUCCUUAAUAGAAGGGGGCGCCAAAAUAGG